rnacentral:rRNA from 1 species
AGCGUAAUCACUUGUUCUUUAAAUGAGGACUAGUAUGAAUGGCCCCACGAGGGCUGCGCUGUCUCCUUUUUCUAAUCAAUGAAACUAAUCUCCCCGUGAAGAAGCGGGAAUUAUCCUAUAAGACGAGAAGACCCUAUGGAGCUUUAAACAAUUGAAACAUUUGCUUUUCUCCUAACUCCUCCCGAGCUCUUUAUUUUUAUUUAAGCAUUAUUAUUUCUAGUUUUAGGUUGGGGUGACCACGGAGCAAAACUAAACCUCCAUGAAGAAAUGAAUAUUUUUAAGCCACAAACUACUUUUUUAAGCAUCAACAAAUUGACCUUCAUUGACCCAAUAUAUUGAUCAACGAACCAAGUUACCCUAGGGAUAACAGCGCAAUCUACUUCAAGAGCUCAUAUCGACAAGUAGGUUUACGACCUCGAUGUUGGAUCAGGGUAUCCUAGUGGG